rnacentral:lncRNA from 1 species
CCCUUUGCAAACUUUUUUCUCAUGGCUGCUGGAGUGAUCUUUAGCACGUAUAACUUGAAUAUAUUAAAGAGCCAGAAAAUAAGAUCCGGGAAUAAAGGAGAGAUAAAAGGUCAGAGGAUGAGUGUGUGAAGGUAUCACAGGGCGAGUCACUAGAUGGGGACAGCUGCUUCCCACAGUCUCUGAGAACUAGAAGAAACCACAGCAGAUGCAGUUUUGGUUAGAAAUAGGACCAAGUUUCCUGAGCAGGAUGUUUAAGAUCAUUAAAUAAAUCACCAAGGGAACUGUGGAAUAUAUUCCUCUGCUGGUCUUUACAAACAGAGCAGUAACUGAGCAAUUAGGGAUGAGUUCUGUUUAAGUCUGACCACUGUGCUGAAUUGGCUGGAAUCUCUAAGUUCCUUCCAGCCUCAGAGUCUCACGAUGCCUCACCCUCACCAAUUGCCUGUAAGAGACAGUGGAACCCAGAACCAGAGGGCCCUCAAGGAGUUAUCAUGUAAUCAGUCUCUGACAGUCAAAAAUUUGUCCUUACAUUUAAUCAAACUUCCUUGGUUGUAGAAUGGGUACAGGAUAGUUUCCUCCUAUCAACCCUCAUGCAUGGUAAGCCAAGGUUACCACAUUAAAAAAAAAUUUUUUUUUUGAGACAGAGUCUCGCUGUGUCACCCUGGCUGGAGUGCAGUGGCAUGAUCUUGNNNNNNNNNNCCAAAGUGCUGGGAUUACAGGCGUGAGCCACUACGCCUGGCCGGUUAUUACACUUUUUAAGGCUCUUCUAACAAACAUUCUUCAUGCUUUCAAAGCUCCUUUCAAAGCGACUCUUGUAAAGUUCACAAACCCCUAAAAACUCAGUGACAUCCCAGUUUGAUAUGAUUGAUCUGCACAGAUGGAUUCUACAAUGCCAAGUUCUGGGUUCUAAGACAGGAAACUUAACACAACAUUCGUGUUUCUAACAUGCAUAUCCUAAAGGUGUCUAUUAAUACUAUAGAUAUGAAUCUAAGUCACCAAGCACACACGUCUGUUGUCGGGAAUAGAAGGUAAGAGAAAGAAGUGACAGAUUAGUUCCACUUGAGGCUAUGGAAAGGGCUGGCUCCCAUGAGGAAAAGGUGCUGGAGGGGGAGUGCUGGGCAAAAGGGGACUCAGAAGUCACAAGAUGGGUGGGUGGAGGGAAAAGUAAAUACAAAUGCAGAGAAGGGCCCUUGGAAGAGAGACCUUAAAGGGUGUUUCUACCACUGGUGCUAGAGUAGGUGAAUCAGUGGGAAGUAUGUGUGGGGCUUGCUGGGCUGAGAGGAUGCAGGGUAGCCAGGAGGGAAGAGGAGAUGUUGGGGAGUGGGGCGUGGAAGCAGGCAAACGAAUGGGUAAAGAAAACCUCAUUGGUUGGUAAAUGGUCAAAAACUGACCACACUCUUCUGGUUUUUAACCCUGGCAACCCCGCCUCUGGCCCUCCCUCCACUGGAAGUUUCCAAGCAUCUGUUCCUGCUGCUGCCUUUCUUCUGCUCCCCUGGGCUGUUCCCUGUAUCAAGCCUUUCCUCCUUUCCUGGAACUUGCAAUUCCACUAAAUUUGCCAUAUGGCCUAGAAAAACUGUAAAUUCUGGUGGGGUCGGGUUGAUAAUUCCUUGUUCUCCAGAAGGUAGCAGAGGACCGAGAAUUGGGUUUAAAUUAAAAGGGUGGAAACUUCUAUAAGUCAAGAAAGGAAGCAGCCAUUUCUUUGGACACCUGGUAGCAUAUCCACUGCCACUUCCUAGCAUAUUUUAAAAUGAAAAUUUCUUGGUGGUAUAUUGAAGAAAUAAGACUUUCAAACUCUCUCUCCCCUGUUGAAUUAAUUUUGGGAAAUCAAAAAUCACUUCCUUUUCACAUCCAGAAAAUCUGAUUUUGUCGAGGCAAUUAAGAAUAUUACCAUUUUA